UCUUCCAUGCCCAGCACGGUGGCUUAGUGGUUAGGACUGUUGACUCACAGCAAGAAGUUCAUGGGAUCGAAUCCCACCUGUGAUCUUUCUGUGUGGAGUUUGCAUGUUCUCUCCAUGUUUGCGUGGGUUCCCUCCGGGUGCGCCGACGUCCUCCCACAUUUAAAGACAUGCAACUUCAGUGGAUUGGAAACUUUA